rnacentral:rRNA from 1 species
UACGUAGGGGGCAAGCGUUAUCCGGAAUUACUGGGUGUAAAGGGAGCGUAGGCGGCACGCCAAGCCAGAUGUGAAAGCCCGAGGCUUAACCUCGUGGAUUGCAUUUGGAACUGGCGAGCUAGAGUACAGGAGAGGAAAGCGGAAUUCCUAGUGUAGCGGUGAAAUGCGUAGAUAUUAGGAAGAACACCAGUGGCGAAGGCGGCUUUCUGGACUGAAACUGACGCUGAGGCUCGAAAGCGUGGGGAGCAAACAGG